AGUGAACGCUGGCGGUAGGCCUAACACAUGCAAGUCGAACGGCAGCACAGUAAGAGCUUGCUCUUACGGGUGGCGAGUGGCGGACGUGUGAGGAAUACAUCGGAAUCUACUUUUUCGUGGGGGAUAACGUAGGGAAACUUACGCUAAUACCGCAUACGACCUACGGGUGAAAGCAGGGGAUCUUCGGACCUUGCGCGAUUGAAUGAGCCGAUGUCGGAUUAGCUAGUUGGCGGGGUAAAGGCCCACCAAGGCGACGAUCCGUAGCUGGUCUGAGAGGAUGAUAAGCCACACUGGAACUGAGACACGGUCCAGACUCCUACGGGAGGCAGCAGUGGGGAAUAUUGGACAAAGGGCGCAAGCAUGAUCCAGCCAUACCGCGUGGGUGAAGAAGGCCUUCGGGUUGUAAAGACCUUUUGUUGGGAAAGAAAAGCAGCAGGUUAAUACCCCGCUGUUCUGACGGUAACCAAAGAAUAAGCACCGGCUAACUUCGUG
rnacentral:rRNA from 1 species